rnacentral:rRNA from 1 species
ACAUGCAAGUCGAGCGAAGCACUUUUGCGGAUUUCUUCGGAUUGAAGCAAUUGUGACUGAGCGGCGGACGGGUGAGUAACGCGUGGGUAACCUGCCUCAUACAGGGGGAUAACAGUUGGAAACGGCUGCUAAUACCGCAUAAGCGCACAGUACCGCAUGGUACCGUGUGAAAAACUCCGGUGGUAUGAGAUGGACCCGCGUCUGAUUAGCUAGUUGGUGGGGUAACGGCCUACCAAGGCGACGAUCAGUAGCCGACCUGAGAGGGUGACCGGCCACAUUGGGACUGAGACACGGCCCAAACUCCUACGGGAGGCAGCAGUGGGGAAUAUUGCACAGUGGGGGAAACCCUGAUGCAGCGACGCCGCGUGAGCGAUGAAGUAUUUCGGUAUGUAAAGCUCUAUCAGCAGGGAAGAAAAUGACGGUACCUGACUAAGAAGCCCCGGCUAACUACGUGCCAGCAGCCGCGGUAAUACGUAGGGGGCAAGCGUUAUCCGGAUUUACUGGGUGUAAAGGGAGCGUAGACGGCAUGGCAAGCCAGAUGUGAAAGCCCGGGGCUCAACCCCGGGACUGCAUUUGGAACUGUCAGGCUAGAGUGUCGGAGAGGAAAGCGGAAUUCCUAGUGUAGCGGUGAAAUGCGUAGAUAUUAGGAGGAACACCAGUGGCGAAGGCGGCUUUCUGGACGAU